CAAUUAGUAAGACCCCUUGAAGACGACGAGGUUGAUAGGUUCGGGGUGGAAGCACGGCAACGUGUGGAGCUGACGAAUACUAAUCGGUCGAGGGCUUAUCCUA
rnacentral:rRNA from 1 species